GGCCCUCGGGUCUAGUGGCGAACGGCGGAGUAAUACGUGAACAACGUGCCCCCAAGUCUGGGACAAACGCAGAAAUGCCAUAAAUACCAGAUGUGGUCGGAGAAGGACAUCCUUUUCCGAUUAAAGGUUUUUCGCUUAGGGAGCGGUUCACGGCCUAUCAGCUAGUUGGUGAGGUAAAGGCUCACCAAGGCGACGACGGGUAGGGGGUCUGAGAGGAUGAUCCCCCCGAGUGGGACUGAGACACGGCCCACACACCUACGGGUGGCAGCAGUUGGGAAUCUUGCACAAUGGGGGAAACCCUGAUGCAGCGACGCCGCGUGGAGGAUGACGGAUUUAGGUCUGUAAACUCCUUUUGCAGGGAAAGACUUAGGACGGUACCCUGAGAAUAAGGACCGGCUAACUACGUGCCAGCAGCCGCGGUAAGACGUAGGGUCCGAGCGUUGUCCGGAUUUACUGGGCGUAAAGAGCGCGUAGGCGGUC
rnacentral:rRNA from 1 species